rnacentral:rRNA from 1 species
GAUGAACGCUGGCGGCGUGCCUAAUACAUGCAAGUCGAGCGAACGGACGAGAAGCUUGCUUCUCUGAUGUUAGCGGCGGACGGGUGAGUAACACGUGGAUAACCUACCUAUAAGACUGGGAUAACUUCGGGAAACCGGAGCUAAUACCGGAUAAUAUUUUGAACCGCAUGGUUCAAAAGUGAAAGACGGUCUUGCUGUCACUUAUAGAUGGAUCCGCGCUGCAUUAGCUAGUUGGUAAGGUAACGGCUUACCAAGGCAACGAUGCAUAGCCGACCUGAGAGGGCGAUCGGCCACACUGGAACUGAGACACGGUCCAGACUCCUGCGGGAGGCAGCAGUAGGGAAUCUUCCGCAAUGGGCGAAAGCCUGACGGAGCAACGCCGCGUGAGUGAUGAAGGUCUUCGGAUCGUAAAACUCUGUUAUUAGGGAAGAACAUAUGUGUAAGUAACUGUGCACAUCUUGACGGUACCUAAUCAGAAAGCCACGGCUAACUACGUG